rnacentral:rRNA from 1 species
GGUUAAGCGACUAAGCGUACACGGUGGAUGCCUAGGCAAUCAGAGGCGAUGAAGGACGUGCUAAUCUGCGAAAAGCGUCGGUAAGGUGAUAUGAACCGUUAUAACCGACGAUGUCCGAAUGGGGAAACCCAGUGCAAUUCGUUGCACUAUCGUUUGAUGAAUCCAUAGUCAAACGAGGCGAACCGGGGGGAACUGAAACAUCUCAGUACCCCGAGGAAAAGAAAUCAACCGAGAUUCCCCUAGUAGCGGCGAGCGAACGGGGAGCAGCCCAGAGUCUUAAUCAGCAUCAGCAUCAGGAGAACGGUCUGGAAAGGCCGGCAAUAAAGGGUGAUAGCCCCGUAUCCGAAGGUGUUGGUGUUGUGAACUCGACGAGUAGGGCGGGACACGUGUUAUCCUGUCUGAAUAUGGGGGGGACCAUCCUCCAAGGCUAAAUACUCCUGAUUGACCGAUAGUGAACCAGUACCGUGAGGGAAAGGCGAAAAGAACCCCGGCGAGGGGAGUGAAAUAGAACCUGAAACCGUGUACGUACAAGCAGUGGGAGCCUUGAUUUAUCAGGGUGACUGCGUACCUUUUGUAUAAUGGGUCAGCGACUUAUAUUCUGUAGCAAGGUUAACCGAAUAGGGGAGCCGUAGGGAAACCGAGUCUUAACUGGGCGAAUGAGUUGCAGGGUAUAGACCCGAAACCCGGUGAUCUAGCCAUGGGCAGGUUGAAGGUUGGGUAACACUAACUGGAGGACCGAACCGACUAAUGUUGAAAAAUUAGCGGAUGACUUGUGGCUGGGGGGUGAAAGGCCAAUCAAACCGGGAGAUAGCUGGUUCUCCCCCGAAAGCUAUUUAGGUAGCGCCUCGUGAACUCAUCUUCGGGGGUAGAGCACUGUUUCGGCUAGGGGGUCAUCCCGACUUACCAACCCGAUGCAAACUACGAAUACCGAAGAAUGUUAUCACGGGAGACACACGGCGGGUGCUAACGUUCGUCGUGAAGAGGGAAACAACCCAGACCGCCAGCUAAGGUCCCAAAGUCAUGGUUAAGUGGGAAACGAAGUGGGAAGGCUCAGACAGCCAGGAUGUUGGCUUAGAAGCAGCCAUCAUUUAAAGAAAGCGUAAUAGCUCACUGGUCGAGUCGGCCUGCGCGGAAGAUGUAACGGGGCUAAACCAUGCACCGAAGCUGCGGCAGCGACAUGUAAAUGUUGUUGGGUAGGGGAGCGUUCUGUAAGCCUGUGAAGGUGUGCUGCGAGGCAUGCUGGAGGUAUCAGAAGUGCGAAUGCUGACAUAAGUAACGAUAAUGCGGGUGAAAAACCCGCACGCCGGAAGACCAAGGGUUCCUGUCCAACGUUAAUCGGGGCAGGGUGAGUCGACCCCUAAGGCGAGGCAGAAAUGCGUAGUCGAUGGGAAACAGGUUAAUAUUCCUGUACUGGUGAUAAUUGCGAUGGGGGGGACGGAGAAGGCUAGGCUGGCCGGGCGACGGUUGUCCCGGUUUAAGGAUGUAGGUGGGUGAAUUAGGCAAAUCCGGUUCGCUAUACACUGAGGUCUGAUGACGAGUCACUACGGUGGCGAAGUAGCUCAUGCCCCGCUUCCAGGAAAAGCCUCUAAGCUCUAGAUUAUCAUUAAUCGUACCCCAAACCGACACAGGUGGUCAGGUAGAGAAUACUCAGGCGCUUGAGAGAACUCGGGUGAAGGAACUAGGCAAAAUGGUGCCGUAACUUCGGGAGAAGGCACGCUGGCACUAGGUGAAGUGGUUUACCCAUGGAGCUGAAGCCAGUCGCAGAUACCAGCUGGCUGCAACUGUUUAUUAAAAACACAGCACUGUGCAAACACGAAAGUGGACGUAUACGGUGUGACGCCUGCCCGGUGCUGGAAGGUUAAUUGAUGGGGUUAUCCGUAAGGAGAAGCUCUUGAUCGAAGCCCCAGUAAACGGCGGCCGUAACUAUAACGGUCCUAAGGUAGCGAAAUUCCUUGUCGGGUAAGUUCCGACCUGCACGAAUGGCGUAAUGAUGGCCAGGCUGUCUCCACCCGAGACUCAGUGAAAUUGAACUCGCUGUGAAGAUGCAGUGUACCCGCGGCAAGACGGAAAGACCCCGUGAACCUUUACUAUAGCUUGACACUGAACAUUGAGCCUUGAUGUGUAGGAUAGGUGGGAGGCUUUGAAGUGUGGACGCCAGUCUGCAUGGAGCCAACCUUGAAAUACCACCCUUUAAUGUUUGAUGUUCUAACGUUGCCCCGUGAACCGGGGUGCGGACAGUGUCUGGUGGGUAGUUUGACUGGGGCGGUCUCCUCCCAAAGCGUAACGGAGGAGCACGAAGGUUGGCUAAGCAUGGUCGGACAUCAUGCGGUUAGUGCAAAGGCAUAAGCCAGCUUGACUGCGAGAGUGACGGCUCGAGCAGGUACGAAAGUAGGUCUUAGUGAUCCGGUGGUUCUGAAUGGAAGGGCCAUCGCUCAACGGAUAAAAGGUACUCCGGGGAUAACAGGCUGAUACCGCCCAAGAGUUCAUAUCGACGGCGGUGUUUGGCACCUCGAUGUCGGCUCAUCACAUCCUGGGGCUGAAGUAGGUCCCAAGGGUAUGGCUGUUCGCCAUUUAAAGUGGUACGCGAGCUGGGUUUAGAACGUCGUGAGACAGUUCGGUCCCUAUCUGCCGUGGGCGUUGGAAGAUUGAAAGGGGCUGCUCCUAGUACGAGAGGACCGGAGUGGACGCACCGCUGGUGUUCGGGUUGUCAUGCCAAUGGCACUGCCCGGUAGCUAAGUGCGGAAGAGAUAACCGCUGAAAGCAUCUAAGCGGGAAACUUGCCUUGAGAUGAGUCUUCCCUGACUCUUUAAGGGUCCUAAAGGAACGUUUAAGACGAAGACGUUGAUAGGCUGGGUGUGUAAGCGUAGCGAUACGUUGAGCUAACCAGUACUAAUGAACCGUGAGGCUUAACCUG